rnacentral:tRNA from 1 species
GGCUUUACUUCGUGGGAAGAAGGCUGCUUUGAAAGCAGCCUCGGGGCGUUCAACUCGUCCUAGGGCUU